rnacentral:rRNA from 1 species
GAUGAACGCUGGCGGCGUGCCUAAUACAUGCAAGUCGAACGAAACUUCUUUAUCACUGAGUGCUUGCACUCACCGAUAAAGAUUUGAGUGGCGAACGUGUCAUUAACACGUGGGCAACCUGCCCAAAAGAUGGGGAUAACACUUGGAAACAUGUGCUAAUACCGCAUAACCAUAGUUACCGCAUGGUAACUAUGUAAAAGGUGGCUAUACUACCGCUUGUUGAUGGGCACGCGGCGCAUUAGCUAGUUGGUAGGGUAAAGUCUUACCAAGGCAAUGAUGCGUAGCCGAAUUGAGAGGUUGAUCGGCCACAUUGGGACUGAGACACGGCCCAAACUCCUACGGGAGGCCGCAGUAGGGAAUCUUCCACAAUGGGCGAAAGCCUGAUGGAGCAACGCCGCGUGGGUGAAGAAGGUCUUCGGAUCGUAAAACCCUGUUGUUAGAGAAGAAAGUGCGUGAGAGUAAAUGUUCACGUUUCGACGGUAUCUAACCAGAAAGCAACGGCUAACUACGUG